GUCUGCAAGCCGGUCAGAUCAUACCCAGUUAGAGCGAGCCCUCUGCCCCAGUCUGGUAGAGGUAGAGGCUCGGGGCCCGCGCUGCACCUUAGGCAGCGGGAUUUGCCCAUGGGCUAACAUCGGAAGAGGGGCACAGUGGUUGAGAGGGGUUUGGAGUGCGGAGGUUGCAAGAGUGGCUGCCCCUGAACUUGUGGCAGCUGAGUCCAUUGGCGUUUGCUUCUCUACGGCCUCCUGCAUGUCAGAAGCCAAGUAAGAGAGAAGCCAAGUGAGGGUGCGAGCGGGCGAUUUAUGGGCGGCUCUCAGCGUCCUCCCAGGCUCGGCUGCCUGGUUCUAGCAGAAACCCCGGGGGGCCGAGCGCCAGGCGGGGGCUCUGAGACGUCCCUUCACCUGACAGGGGGCGGCCCUGGAGCUUCCACCGAAGAGGAGCUCCUGGUCGCGUUCCUCCAGCUUCGGGGUCCAUUUGGGGAGACUCUGGCCCUGGAGAAUGAAGGGUGGAAGAAAAUGAGAAGAAUAAAUGGGACAUUUCCAAUGACCAAGAGUUGAAAAAAAUGAAAACAAGAAAUGAUAAGUGAAGAAAAAAUGUCUUAAAUCUUUUUGUGUGUUCUUGGGGGUUGGAACCAGAGGCCUGGAAGAAAUGGGAUCGCACAUGUAGAAAGAAGGGAGAGAAGGAGGUUAGUGAGGGCAGAGGGAGUGGUAAGGGAAGAGCCUUGGCCUUGGUUCUGGAGAAGAAGUAAAGUAAGUACUAAGGUUUUGGUUUUUUUUUUUAACCUUUCUUUUAAAGAUUUUAUUAUUUAUUUAUCAGAGAGAGAGAGAGAGAGAAAGAGAGAGAGACCCUGUGCACAAUCAGGAGGAGCAGCAGACAGAGAGACAGCUCCCUGGUGAGCAGGGAGCCAGAUGUGGGACUUGAACCCAGGACCCCGGGAUUGUGACCCAAGCUGAAGGUGAAGGCUUAACCCACUGAGCCACCCAGGUGUCCCAAGUUCAAAGGUUUUUAUUUGUUCUUUUGCUCAGUGGACACCUACCCUCCCCAUAAUUUGCCCCACUUAUCUGGGGAUGGACUCCUGCUGCCCAAGCCAAAUCUCACAUCUCACCUCUUUUAAAAUCCAGAUUAAAACUCACUUUACCAGUUACCUUCAACACUGACCCCAUCUGUUUCUGUUCAAUUUUCUGCUUUUCCUACCAACUACAGUUUGGAAGAUUAUUCUGCUUGUGUUCUAGAUGAAACCUAUUUGCAACAAAAUUUACAACAAAAUAUCUACCAAGAGUUAUAUAAAAAAAAUAGAUAGCUAGUUGGGUAACUCUAUGGACUUAGAUGUAAGGAAAGAAGAAAUUUGGGGCCAAAGGAAUAACUGCAUGCAAAGGUUGAAUGAGAAAAUGGGAGGAUGUUCAGGGAAUAUCUAUUGGGAUUAUUUUAACCAGAAUCUGGGGGUGUUUAAGAGUGUUGGAGAUAAAGGUCAGCUGUGGAACUUUCUUCAGUCUGAAAUUCAAUAUUUUGUAUGUACUAGGGAGCCACGAAGGUUUUUACCAGGAAAAGGAACCAGCUCCUACUUGAACUUCAGCUGUGAGAAUCAGGCAGUACUAUAUGCUAGGUGGGUGAGAGAGAGAACAGCUAGAGAAGGGAUAAAGGUCAACUAUCUCCACGUUGCAAAAUGAACUGGCCAGAUGCUUCUCUUUGUGAAGCUUCUCAUGAAAGAAUUUCAUCAUGUUGAUUUGUACUUAACAGUAACUCUCUAAAACCUGUUUCUCAGCUGUGGUUUGGUGUGUUUUCCUUGUCCCCAGUUAUCAAUAAUGCUAAAUAAGGCAUUCUUGGUGGUGGUGACCACUUGGUGGUCAUGAAAGGCCUUUUGCUGCCUGUUAGACCAGACACCAGCCAAAACAGGAGGACACUUCUGUGCUCUUCUGUUUGUUGGUGUCCUUUGGCUAGUCUGUGCUUUUGUUUGUUUUGUCUUGUUUUAAUUUGGAGAAUUUGCUUAUUUUAGUCCCUAACAAAUAAUUCUAUGACUUUAUGAGCAAACGUGUUUAAGAUCCUUAGAACCGUGUUCUCACUCAGUGGCUGUGGCUGUGAUGACCUCUCCUCCUUAGGGUUUCCCAAACUUUAAACCCGUGGUGAGGGUGCUGCUGAGUUAGCAGUGGAGUGGAGCGGCCAGGGGUUCGUGGUUGCUGUCAUGGAAAGGAAGAAGUAGCAAGGAUCAGUAGAACAUCAUUUUUGUUUACAGCAGUAAACUAAAGGAGAGAUGUCAUUGGCCAUGGGAGAGACCACCUAUUCUCUUCUGAGUGGUAAAUCACAUAAUCAGAAAGUCCUAUGUCAGAAGGCUUCCUGAUUUUGUUGUGUAUUGUUUUCUAGAUCACAAUAAUAAGUGGGGAGCAAAGAGUUCAUGCUUGUAUUGGACUAGCAUGGAAAAUAAGACAUCAUCUCUUUUUUUUUUUUUAAUUGUGGUAAAAUAUAUAUAACACAAAAUUUAUCAUCUUAACUGUUUUUAAGUGGACAGUCAUUUAUUUUCAUCUAGAAUAGUUCAGUUUAUCAUAUAAUUUUAUUUACUUAUUUAUUUUAAAGAUUUUAUUUAUUUAUUUAUUGAGAGAGAGAGAGAGUGCCUCUGCAUGAGUGAGUGGGAGAUGGGGCAGAGGGACAGGGAGAAGCCGACUCCCUGCUGAGAGGAGCCCAACAUGGGACUGGAAUCCAAGACCUGGAGAUCAUGACAUCAUCUGAAAUCAAGAGUCAGAGGCUUAACCAAUUGAUUCACCCAGGAGCCCUAAUUUAUCAUGUAAUUUUAGCAGGUUAAGCAUACAGCUUAAAAUUCUUCAUUUAUGACUCUCCUUGGUCUUGCCAAGAUGGUGGAGUUCAACUUCAUUCCUCUCAUCAUGUACUUUCUGGACAGGCAUCUGGUUUCUGUGACUUGAGCUCAGUGCUCUUAAUAAAGGCAAUAUGGCAUGGAAAAUAACACUCCGAGGAAGACUGGAUCUUCUUAAGGAUACCACAUGGAGUCUUUGCUAUGGAUGUAUGCAGAGAGCUUUAUUCUGGUGAUAUUCCCCAUGUUUUGAGAGAAGAAUGGACAGUAGUUGUAGUAUUUCAGACAGAAACUACACCAACUGGGAAAAUAUAUAUAUUUCUUUACCCUCCCCACUCCAGACCAGUUUUACUAUUUUUUUAAAAGAUUUUAUUCAUUUAUUUGUCAGAGAAGGAGAGCAUAACCAACGGGAACAGCAGCAGGCAGAGGGAGAAGCAGGCUCCCCGCUGUGCAAGGAGCCGAUGUGGGACUUGAUCCCAGGACCCUGGGAUCAUGACCUGAGCCAAAGGCAGAUGCCUAACUGACUGAGCCACCUAGGCAUCCCUGGUUUUACUACUUUAGUUUUUUUUUUUUUUUUUUUUUUUUAACGAACUCCCUAGGAAACUUGAAGAGCACAGAUACACUGUACAUGUCUUUAUGUACUAUAUGUUCUCUAUAUAUCUGAGCUUUAUAUAUAAGAAGAGCAACAAUUUUUUUUUUUUUUUUGCCCCCAAGAACCACUCCUUUGGGGUGAUACUGAAGAAUGCUUGCUGUAAGGUUAAUGCACCGUUCCAAGACGAAUGUGGCAAAUACUCAGAAUCAGCAGACUGUUAUGACUCCUUUAGAGCGCUGGUUCCAGCAUGUGCUAGUUACACUGGGCUCUUUCCAGGAAAGCUAACCUCUGAAAUCUCAACUCUGAGAAGCUGCAUACGCACACAGAGAGUGGCCAUGCCAUAUAUGACAAUUGGAUUCUGAUGCACAACCUUUACAGUAACCUGCCCAGAGUGGCCAGUUCUGACUUGGAACUAAGCAAAAAAAGAUUAAUAUGCUCCCCAAUCCAAUCUUGCAGAAUAUUUCACUUCUAGUUAGCCUGCCUACUGUUUUCCCAUGUCAAUAAUUUCUAAUCAGAGCAUACUUGAAAUCCCCCUGCCUUCUUUUUUUUUUUUCUGUUAACCUAUAAAGCACUCCCACUCCCCUGUCUGCCUUUGAAUCCAAAUGCCAAGUGAUGGUGGUUAAUUCCCUUACUAUAUUAAGUUCUAAAAAAAUAGCUUUUGAUCGUUCUUAUUUGGGUGGUCUUUGUUUAUUUCCAUAAUAUGGAAUGAAGGUGUAGCCAUGGAAGACCUUACAUGUUUAAAAAGACGCCAUAAAUAAUAAUCGUCUCAUUUCUCUAUUCCAGUAUUUCAGCAGCAAGCACACCUUAUUCAUUGGUCUUUGUUUUCUUCGAGCACCCCAAAGGCUGUUACAACAUCAUUUGUUUUGUCCUCUAUCCACCACAGUAUCUUAAUAAUUUAAAUGACAUGUCCGCAUUUUGUGACCAUUUAGUUUUGUGGCCAUAUAAUAUUCAAAGAUGCUUGGAAAUAGAGGCAAGACCUAAAAAAUACAUGUAAGUCACUUGACAGGAAUCUUAUACAGAAAAAUACCUGACUACUGAGUUUGUUGAAUACUUAACUUUGACUUUGACUUUGAACGGCACCCAGGAAAAGUUUCAGGACUCAAGUGAGUACUUCUUGAGGAUUCCAUUACAAACAUUUCUCUCUUAAAACAAAAACAAAAACAAAAAACCAAACAUUUAUCUCUUUCUAGUUAAGACUUUCUGUCACAUCCACCAGUGUGUUAGCAUUAUUAUGUUGGUGGCCAAACUAUAAAAUAUUUCACAAGAAACAGUGGAUUAUGAGCUUGAUAAGAAGUAUUAAAAAAUAAAAUUCAACUGAGUAAAGUGGAAAUCUAAUUGGCUUUAUUAAUUAAUUCAUCAAUCCAGCAGCAUCCCAUCUAGCAGAUAGAAGGAAGCUCUGAGAAACUGUACAUGAUGAAGGGUCUUUCUAGAACGGAGGGUGGGACAAGGAAUUUAUUAACAAAAGAAAAAGAGAGGACUAUUCCAGGUAAGAUAACCUCCCCAUACAGGGAAGGGUAGGGGGUCUUUGAAGUGGAUCCCCUCUUUUUCCUUUCAAGGAUGGUGAGUCCAUGGGACAGAUUACCUUCUUGGUGCUGAUCAGAAGAUUCCCCACUGUCUCAUGAAGACUACAUUUCUGGAGGAGGUUGGAACAGCAAUUAGAUUAGAUACAAAGUCUUGGUUAAUGUGGUAACUUGGUAACUUGGUUUAUGUGGUUUCAUUUUAGGUCUGUGGCGUUCUUUUCAACAGAAGAUUGAUUCUAAAUCAGAUCAUGUGGUUAUGAGUAACAUUGCAAAGACCACCCGAAGUCUUUUGGGUAGAAACUAGAUGAUGGCCAGGAGUACUGCCAUCAGAGGUCCUCAAUGGGCAACUCAGCGUUCUGGCUUCUAUUAGGAAGACCAAAAAACUUCAACAUGGGAAUCUGAGGAAGAAUAUUAGAUUUUCCGGAGGCCACGUGAAGGCACUGAGCUACGGUCUGAUGUUUCAGAGUGGGACAGUCCCCUGGGGGCCCUUCCUCCCAUCCCCCCACUCUCCCGGGCCUUGCUAUCUUCUCUUCUCCUUGUCCUUUCUGUGCCAAGUAUCCCCUUGCGUAAUCUUCCUCCAAGUGAGUUCUCUCAGGCAAAGGCCCCACGACUCCACCCCUCUCUACACUCUCAAACUCCAUUUAUUCUGAUGAACAGACCUGGUUGGACCUACACUUUUAACAAGACUUUUGAGGCCAGCGUCCUUCUGGAAUCUCAAAAUUGGUGGUACAUAAACCCCGUGCAUACCUCUGUCACUGCCUUUACUAUAUGGAAAUAUAGACGCAGAACAGGAGAACAUGGAAACAACUCCUUCUUCCCAGCACUAAACAUACCACCCAGAAGGCAGAGUGAAGAAGAGGAAAGAGUGAAGAUUUGAAAGUCAGACAAGCCUGGGUCUGUCAUCUAAUUAUUAUAUGCCCGUGGGUCUUUUUUUUAAAGCUACUUCACAGAGUUGUGGAGAUUUAAUGAGCUAAUAAAUGAGUAAU